rnacentral:lncRNA from 1 species
AGGGGUGGCAAAUCGUGCGGGUCGGAUCGCUAUCGGGUCGACCUGAUAUCAACCCGACCUGAUAAGGCCAAACCCGAACCCGACCUGAUAAGGGAAUGCUAAAACCCAACCCGAACCCAACCUGAUACAGCUAAACCCGAACCCAACCCGAACCCAACCCGAACCCGAUAACAACCCGAACUCCUUCAGCAGCCGCGCCGAUUGGAACUCCGGGAGAGGGGCGGCGACUCGAAGAAGGGCUGCGCCGGCUGUGAGAGUCGACGUCGUUGCGUCGAGUGCGGGCGGCGGGGCGGGGCAGUGCGGCGGAGUGGAGGCUGGGAGUUGGAACUUGGAAGAAUGGAAAUUCAAAAUUGGAAGGGACGAGCGGCGGGGGAUGGGAUGAAUGAAAUGAAACCCUACUAACCUAAACUAAGAAAAUAAAAAUUUAAAAAUUAAAAUAAAUGUUUAAUAAAAAUAAUAAUAUUAUUAUCGGGUUACCUGAACCGAACCAGACCCAACCCGAACCCGACCCGAAAUUAUCAGGUCCUUAUCAGGUCGACCCGAUAAGGACCCGAACCUUAUCGUGCGUGUUACUAACCCAUUAAUUUCGUGCGGUUUCGUGUCGGGUUAUCGUGUCGUGUCGAAAAUUGCCAGCCCUA